rnacentral:rRNA from 1 species
GCGACACGAGUUGUUGCUGGCCCUCCCCAAAAGGGAGGGUAUGUGCACGCUCUGUUCACAUAUCCACUUACACCUGUGCACCCUCCGUAGUUCUAUGGCCUGGGGGGCCUCUGCUCUCCUGCUGUGGUUCUAUGUUUUUACACUACACACUGUAAUAAGGUCUUAUGGAAUGUAUCCUGCGUUUAACGCAAUACAGUAUAACUUUCAGCAACGGAUCUCUUGGCUCUCGCAUCGAUGAAGAACGCAGCGAAAUGCGAUAAGUAAUGUGAAUUGCAGAAUUCAGUGAAUCAUCGAAUCUUUGAACGCACCUUGCGCCCUUUGGUUAUUCCGAAGGGCAUGCCUGUUUGAGUAUCAUGAACACCUCAACUCUCAUGGUUUGCCAUGCUGGGUUUGGACUUUGGGGGUUUUGCUGGCUUAUGGUAGUCAGCUCCUCUCAAAUAGAUCAGCUUGCCAGUGUUUGGUGGUGACGCGGGUGUGAUAACUAUCUACGCUUGCGGCUCCCCACCAGAUAACUUCCAGUGAUGGAAGUUCGCUGGAGCUAAUAAACGUCUCUCCUUAGUGGAGACAGCUCUUCGAAUGUUUGAUCUCAAAUCAGGUAGGACUACCCGCUGAACUUAAGCAUAUCAUA